UCCGGGAARYCCGGGGSUAAUACCGGAUGCUUUGUUUGAMCCGCAUGGGUUCAGACAUAAAAGGUGGCUUCGGCUACCACUUACAGAUGGACCCGCGGSGCAUUAGYUAGUUGGUGAGGUAACGGCUCACCAAGGCGACGAUGCGUAGCCGACCUGAGAGGGUGAUCGGCCACACUGGGACKGAGACACGGCCCAGACUCCUACGGGAGGCAGCAGUAGGGAAUCUUCCGCAAUGGACGAAAGUCUGACGGAGCAACGCCGCGUGAGUGAUGAAGGUUUUCGGAUCGUAAAGCUCUGUUGUUAGGGAAGAACAAGUGCCGUUCAAAUAGGGCGGCACCUUGACGGUACCUAACCAGAAAGCCACGGCUAACUACGUGCCAGCAGCCGCGGUAAUACGUAGGUGGCAAGCGUUGUCCGGAAUUAUUGGGCGUAAAGGGCUCGCAGGCGGUUUCUUAAGUCUGAUGUGAAAGCCCCCGGCUCAACCGGGGAGGGUCAUUGGAAACUGGGGAACUUGAGUGCAGAAGAGGAGAGUGGAAUUCCACGUGUAGCGGUGAAAUGCGUAGAGAUGUGGAGGAACACCAGUGGCGAAGGCGACUCUCUGGUCUGUAACUGACGCUGAGGAGCGAAAGCGUGGGGAGCGAACAGGAUUAGAUACCCUGGUAGUCCACGCCGUAAACGAUGAGUGCUAAGUGUUAGGGGGUUUCCGCCCCUUAGUGCUGCAGGCUAAC
rnacentral:rRNA from 1 species